GAGUCAACAUGUGACGCCAUGGGGGUAGGACGCCGGGAACUAUUCUCCGGUGCCUCAGCCUAACCGGUGAUCAACUACUGUGUGAUCUUGUACAAUUCACUUCAUCUCUGUGACUCAUCUGGAAAGCAAGAGAGGACCCUCAACACACCACUCCACUGGGUUGCUGUGGAAUAGUAAGGUGACAUCAUAGACAGCAGAUCCUUUUCCAGUAGGACUUACUGAGAAGUUCCGGCAGUCAUGUCUAGAAUACCCCCAAGGCAUGUGGUGACAGCGCCUGGGUCUACUGGACUUUGGACUCGGAGUCUCCCAUUAAUGUGACUAUAGGAAGAAAAACCUGACAUUCAGACUUUGGGUCAGAAGCCACAGUGAAAAACAAAACAGCCUCAGGGAAAUGUGCUUUGGUUUUGGAUGCCGCUAGAGAGGCCGUGGGAGUGUGAUCAAGGUUUCUUCACUCACUCAUUGAUUCAUGUGGAAAGAACUUAUUGAUCCUUUUCAGCAACAGAACCAGUGUCUGCAAGAUCAAACCCGUCAAUGAUUCCAGCAUGGGUUUAGGGAGAGGGUCAUGAGGCUCUGCCCCUAGCUGGGGAGCUGCUGGGAGCUGCUGGCUGUUGGGAGGUACUUUGGGUGGGUAGGUGGGUGCCCACUGGUAGCUUGCUCAUGCUCAUGCAAGCAGCAUCAAUUGGACUUAAUGGGUUAUUAAAAGAACAAAGGGACAUGGAUAUGGAAGGACAUGUGUUGGGGGUGGUGUAUGAAGUUGGGGUGAAUAUGAUCAAGUUAAGUCAUAAGUAUGAAAUUGUCGAAGAAUAAAUAAAAAUCUUUUAAAAAAGA